AACCUUAUGCUCUGCGACCAACCGAUGUGUCAGUCGUCAGUCGCUAGCGGUACGAGUAACAUCGUGAGUGAGUUUUGUGCACCAUCUUACCCACACUGUACUGAUUAAGUUUUUUGGGUUAAUCAAACAUUAAAUUAGCAUAAAAAGUAGACUUCCAAAAUUUGUUAAGUUUUAAUGAGUUGCAAUACAUCAACAUCCGAUAAUUUGUUCAAAUUUCAAAAGUGAUUUAUUUUUCCGGAGCUGUUCGACAAGCAUCGAAAAGAAGAAAUCAAACGAUUGGUUCAAGCAAACGGAUCGAAACCGAAAAAAACAACAGACACUUAUUCAAACAAAAAAGUCGCAACACCCUUUUCGCCCAGUACGGCAGGGGCAAAAAAAGAAAAACUUCGCUCUUCUACCGCUGCAAUCUGUUGCUUCCUUCUAUGUAUUUUCUGCUGCUCCUAUUUGUCUUUCAUGGAAUUUUCCGCCUCUCCGGAAAAGUACCACCCGGAAAUCUGGAACUUUAUUUUCGUUCCUCUCUUACUGCUUCCGUUUCGCCACCCAUCCGUCGUUCAUCUGUCUGUCUGUUUGUCAUAGAAUAAUGGCUAUUUGAUCAAAAUUUAAUUACUUUUUCACAACUCUUCCUCAGAGUUUGUUCGAGUCUGUACACUUCUUUUUUUUUCAAUUUAUGUAAUUACUUUCUUUGAAAUCGAAUCUGUUGUAACAACUUUUCGAGCCGCUAGCGAAAACUGGCUGGUUGAUCAUCGACCAGAGCCACCGCCAUCCGUGUUCCGGAAACAGCUUUUCCUAAGCGAAGUUUUAAAAGUGAUUAAUAGGGGAAAGCACACACACCCAAACCUGAACCGUAUUGUCAGGCCUGAGUCCAAUAUGGUCACCACACUUCAUGCUGCCGGUAGAAGUUUGAGCCGCUGCGACAUCCUGCAUCAAACAAGCAUCCGAGAAGCUGAACCGAAAAAGGAAACUCCGAACAAGAACAAAAUCCUCGAACAAAAGUUAAAUUGAGUUAAUAAACUAUGAAGCAAGCGAAACGAAAAAAAAACACAUCAUAGAACAUAAAGUUUAACAAGAGUGCCUGUUCCGGAAAAACGCGCGCGCGACGCACACAACACACCCCCGGUCAUCAUCCCUUUCUCCCCCUUACCGGAUUGAAGAGAUCAGAUCCCGGCCGCCUGGCAAAAUCUACUACCUGCAACAGGCGACAGCAGUGCCAGGCCGGUCCGGUGUGCUGUGCUUGUGCAUUUCCGGGUUGAGACACCGACAGCGCUAUUCUUUUUACGCUGUGUCGUUGCUUCCGUAGACAGAGUCCAGUCAUUCGCCCACUGCUGUUCAGAUUUAUCCCACUGAUUCCCCCCCCCCCUCCUCACGAUCCCCUCUAUGAGUUAGAGUACACGAUACGCGCCGUACCCAGCUUUGAUCUUGAACACGUCGAUAGCGGCCAGGAGGGAAACUACGCUACUGCCGGUUGGAACACUGAGCGCGGGGUCCGGGGAGAAGAGUCGUGUCGCCCGCAGACGGAAUGGAUCGAAUAGCCAUGACCCAUCAGGCUUCUCUUAACGUCGAUUGCUCAUACACGAUCAAUAUUAACUCCUGCUAUGGAACCAAAAGUUUGAUGUGUUAUUAUGGCUCAUGAUUGCAACCCACCACCGCUACCGGGAAAACCGAAAGAUAAAUGCUGCUUCAUAAGUUUGGUAAGUAAACCGGG